rnacentral:rRNA from 1 species
GACGAACGCUGGCGGCGUGCUUAACACAUGCAAGUGGAGCGACGAACCGGGGCUUGCCCCGGGGCAGAGCCGCGAACGGGUGAGUAACACGUGGGUAACCUACCCCGAUGAUUGGGACAACCCGAGGAAACUCGGGCUAAUACCAAAUGUGCUGACGGUUCAUGAGGACCAUCAGUAAAGAUAGCUUCGGCCUUCGCAUCGGGACGGGCCCGCGGCCCAUUAGCUUGUUGGUGAGGUAACGGCNCACCAAGGCAACGAUGGGUAGCUGGUCUGAGAGGACGAUCAGCCACACUGGGACUGAGACACGGCCCAGACUCCUACGGGAGGCAGCAGUGGGGAAUCUUGCGCAAUGCGCGAAAGCGUGACGCAGCAACGCCGCGUGGAGGAAGACGGUCUUCGGAUUGUAAACUCCUUUC